CCUACGGGGUGCUGCAGUGGGGAAUAUUGGACAAUGGGCGAAAGCCUGAUCCAGCCAUGCCGCGUGUGUGAAGAAGGCCUUCGGGUUGUAAAGCACUUUCAGUGGGGAAGAAAGCCUUGGGGCUAAUACCCUCGAGGAAGGACAUCACCCACAGAAGAAGCACCGGCUAACUCCGUGCCAGCAGCCGCGGUAAUACGGAGGGUGCGAGCGUUAAUCGGAAUUACUGGGCGUAAAGCGCGCGUAGGCGGUCUGAUAAGCCGGUUGUGAAAGCCCCGGGCUCAACCUGGGAACGGCAUCCGGAACUGUCAGGCUAGAGUGCAGGAGAGGAAGGUAGAAUUCCCGGUGUAGCGGUGAAAUGCGUAGAGAUCGGGAGGAAUACCAGUGGCGAAGGCGGCCUUCUGGACUGACACUGACGCUGAGGUGCGAAAGCGUGGGUAGCAAACAGGAUUAGAUAACCCGGGUAGUC
rnacentral:rRNA from 1 species